CCCUUUUUCUGUGCUUCUUGCUAGUGAUCCUGCCUCCGUGCCUUUGUAUAGGCUGAAACUUCCACUUGGGAAGCCCUCCCUACCCCCAUGGCACCUGCCAUCAACCUAGCAAACAUCCCCCCUAGCUUUCAUCACCAUCUCAACAUUCCAGUUGUCCUGGAAACAUGUCCAUUCUGUUUCUCUCAGCUCCUGCCACAAAACUAACCCUGCCCUCCCCUCUACCAGCACAAACUCUCAGUGGACACUUCUGCUUCAACUCUCUCUCACACUGGAUCUCUGAGCUCCUGGAAAGAAGGGACUUUAAUAUUCGGAUCUUUACCCUAGUAAGUGAUUGAGAACAAAUGAAUGAGAGGAUGGAAGGAAGAGAUAAAGGAGAGAAGAGAAAGGAAGAUGGAGAAAGAAAAGGGACCUACAACUGUAGCUUAUGAGAUAGUGCUUAAAUGAUGCCAUGUCAUGCCCGAAUAACAUUGAGUGAAGCUUGAAUCCCCUUGACUAUAGCAAAGAGUGAAAUAACUCAAAGUUAUUGUAGUGUAAAGACCACACUGCUGUGUCUGGGGAGAAAAGAAGAAAUAUUCAUGUGACAGAGACUGAUUUGUUCUGCUCAUGGAAGUAAGGAGAUAGAAGAUAUUCUGGGUGGCAGCCUGACAAAGCCUGCCCUUUUCUGCAGAAAUGACAUUGUUUCCAGAGGAGCACUCAUCCAUGGUGAAAAGGGUUAGGGGACCUGCACUGGUCAUCAUGCUGUCCUUGUCUUGGAGUAUCAGAGACUGGCUACAGCUAGGGCUACCAAAGGCACAAAUUAAGAAUUUCCUCAAAGAUCACUUAGUUACAGACACUCACUUUGCAGAAGCAAUCACUGAAAACCAGAAAAGUGCCUUCUAUCGGCUGAAGCCAGUUAGAAGCCAGAUGACAGAGAGACCCGGGAAUUCCUUAGUCUCCUAGUCAGCCCCUCCACCUUGCAAUAUAGAGGAGGGGAAAUGGUGAGAAUGUGAUGGAGGGUGAAGAAUCCCAAGAUGGGUUCACAAGGACAUUCAUCCUUAUGGCACUGGGCAAUCUCAGGCUGUGCAAAACCAGCUGCCAGAAGCCAUGACAGGAUCACAGUCAAAAGGUAUUCCCGGUGCAUCCGGAAUCCACAGAGCCAGUAGGACCAUAACCACUUCCUCAGUGUCUAAGGGCUGCUUUGUGUUUAAGCCAAACUCCAAAAAGAGAAAGAUCUCUGUGCCAAUGGAGGACUAUUUUAACAAAGGGAAAAAUGAGUCUAAGGACAGUAAGCUUCAAUUUGGAACUUAGUUGAUAUGGCAGCAAAUGAAAUGUGAAAAUGAGCCACUACAAGAAGAAUUAAAUAAAAACUUGUUUGACAAUCUAAUUGAAUUUCUGCAAAAAUCUCAUUCUGGAUUCCAGAAGAAUUCAAGAGACUUGGGCUGUCAAAUAAAACUCAGAGAAAUUCCAACUGCUGCUCUUGUUCUUGGUGUGAAUGUCACAGAUCAUGAUUUAACAUUCAGAAGUCUAACAGAGGCCCUUCAGAAUAAAGUCGCACCAUAUGUAGUCUCAUUGCAAACUAAAGACUGUCCAGAUAUGAAACAUUCUUUUUGCAAAAGUUGAUCUCACAAUUGUUGAACUGCUGUGUAGAUAUAAAAUCCAAAGAGGGGGAAAGUGUUCAGCUCACCCAGAGAAAGAUACAUUAUUCAAUGGACUCACUUUCCAGUUGGUAUAUGACUGUCACACAGAAGACAGACCCAAAAAUGCCAAGCAAAAAGAGGACUACUUCUAGCCAAUGGCAGUCUCCUCCUGUUGUGGUUAUCUUAAAGGAUAUGGAAAGCUUUGCCACAAAAGUACUGCAAGACUUCAUAAUUAUCAACAGUCAACAUCUGCAUGAAUUUUCACUAAUAUUCAUUUUUUGAAUUGCCAUAUCUAUUAUCAUCCGCCGAUUGUUUCCUCAUGCAUUAUCAUCUCUAUUGUGCAUAGAACUGUUCCAAGUUUUGUCUUGCAAGGAGCACCUGACUAUGGUACUCAAUAAGCUACUUCUUACAACUCAGUUUCCCUUUAAAAUAAAUGAAAAAGCAUGCAGGUUCUGACGAACAUCUUUUUGUAUCAUGAUUUCUAAAUUCAAAACUUUAUAAAAGGACCAGCUUUCUCUAUUAGAGCAUUUCUAUUCCCAGCCCUUAAGUGUCCUGUGCUGUAAUCUUCCAGAAGCCAAAAGAAGAAUAAAUUUUUUAUCAAACAAUCAAUGGGAAAACAUCAGACGUCUUCCAUCUUUUAGGAGGUACAUAGAAAAGCAAGUUGCGCUCUUGACCAAUGAGAGAUGUUUGAAGGAGGAAACACAAUUAUUACUAGAAAACCUUCAUGUGUAUCAUAGGAAUUACUUCCCGGUUUUGAGAUGUCUUCAUAAGUUCACCUCUUCUCUUCCCAAGUAUCCACAAGGUUGACAGAUCAGAGAGUUGUACCGCACAUGUUUAGAAAAGAACAUACGGAAUUCAGAGGAGUAUGCAUCAGUCUUAUAGCUGCUGAAGAUGUUGGCAAACGAUGAACUGAUGACCAUACUUGAGGAAUGUUUCAAGGUUUUUAAAUCCUCUUGUGAAAAUCACCUUGGCAGCACAGCUAAGAGAAUAGAGAAGUUCCUGGCCCAGUUUCAGAGCUUCGAUGAAACCAAAGAGGAAGAAGAUGCUUCUGGGUCAGUCAAAGGGGCUUCAGAAGACAGACCUCUAUCAUCUUCAGAAGUCUUUACAGGAAAUGAAGGAGUCAAGUGGAAGUAAGAAGCAAACCAAAUUUGAAGUACUCAGAGAAAAUAUUGUGAACUUCAUGACUGUCUAGUGAGAGAACAGCUUCUGCCUCCUGAGACACAGCCUCUCCAUGAGGUGGUCCGCUUCAGUGCUGCCCAUGCCCUUCGUGAGCAUUUAGAUGCUGCUCCAUGAAUUGCCCUCCAUACUGCACUCAACAAUCCUUACUAUUAUCUAAAGAAUGAAGCACUGAAAAGCAAAGAAGGGUGCAUUCCAAAUAUCACCCCAGACAUCUGCAUAGCAUAUAAAUUGCACCUAGAGUGUUGCAGGCUAAUCAACCUUGUGUACUGUUCAUAGGCUUUUGCAACAGUUUUGACAGCUGCUGAAAAAAUGGAUGCAAAUUCUGCAACCUCAGAAGAAAUGAAUGAAAUUAUCCAUGCUUGGUUUAUUAGAACUUUUUUUGAACUAGAACUUUUAGGAUUUAUAAAACCUACCAAAUAGAAGACUGACCUUGUGGCAAGGCUAACACGGGGAGGCUGCUAGAAAGUGAAAGCAAAUGAGUGAAGUCAGAACUAUCACAUUUAGCUUAAGCGAAAAAGGUGACCAGUGAUAUUUACAUACACUAGAGGACUAGAGGAGCCUGUUUUGGUGAGAAGAUAAAUGUGUAAUCCUUAUGUGAUGUUUAUCCUGAAAAGUACAUUGCUAACCCCAAACAGGCAUAUAUCAAAACACCUGUAGAAUACUUUAGAGUCCAACAAAUAAUAUAUAUAACUAAAACUGCUCACACAUUUUACUGUACUUUUCACAAAGUUAUUACUAAAUUGUGAGUAAAUCAUUCUUGAACUUAUAGUAUAAAAGUAUAAUAAAUUCCUUUAUCCAGGAGUAUAAAUUUUUAAAAAAUGUAUUCCCUUUGACUUAUCAGUACCUGAAGAAUAUUUUCAGAAUGAACUUGGUUAAGGUUCCUUUGCUGAUUAUAAAAUAGCAGUUCUUUAUCAGAGAUGGAUUCUUCUCUUAGUCAGUGGCUUAGGUUGGAAACUGCAUAUUAUUUUAACUUAAUCUUUUAUUUCAGUGAUGGUCCUGCCAAAUCUCAUAUUGGCAUGACCAAAGCUUCAGGCUAGGGCUCAAGAUUAAUGCUGUGCUUGUGAGCUCCCAUAGUCAGAAACUCUAUAGUUUGUGAAGGAAACCCAGGAUGCACUCAGCUGGCAGAGCUUUUAACAACACUCAGAGUGAGUCCAGCUUGCUCUAGCAUGGUGGCAACAGCUCAGCAGUGCUAAUAGGAGUAAUAACUCACAUUUGUCUGUAAGGAAAUAGAACUAGAAGUCACAGACAGAAAAUAAAUAAAGGUGGAAGGCGCUAACUUCAGCCUCACUCUUUUUUUCAUAAUCUCAUGAGUAUUCCACAUUUUAAGGAAAGCUACUCCUUCAGAUAAAGGGAAGAAGAGAGUGUCCCAAUCCCUCUGUGCCAAGCAUUGUGCAGAAACUUUCCCAUGAAAGUUCCCAUUUAAUCUUCAUAUCUCGGUGAGUUAUUUUAAUCCCAUUUCACAGAUUUACAUUAUAUGAGGCUAAAAGACUUGUCCCCGGUCACGUGGUUAGUAGGUGACAGAGUAAGCUUCCAAAUCCAACAUAUGUCAUAGUACAUACUGACUGUGUUCACUGACCUGCAAAGUACCAAGUCACUGCCUUGAACAUAAUGAUUUCAAAACAUCUUUCUGAGAUGUGGCUUCAGAUACAUUUACCAUGCCUUCUCAGCCCCUUACCAUUUAAGUGUGGAUAAUUCUAUUCAAUAAGAUAUUGAGUAGCUUUUAUGUGGCAGGCAUGCUGGAUAACAGAGGUAUAAUGUUGUAUGAUGUUAUGGACUGAUGUUAUAUGCCCCCAAAACUCACAUGUUAAAAUCCUAACCCCCAAUGUGACAGUAUAGGAAGCUGAGACCUCUGGGUGGUGGUUAGGUCAUGAGAGUGGAGACUAUAUAAAUGGGAUUGGUUCCCUUACAAAGGAGACCCCAAAGAGUUUCCUUAUUUCUUCUGACACAUGAGGACACAGAGAAAAGAUUGCCAUCAAUGAACCGGGAAGUUGGUCCUCACCAGAAGCUGAAUCUCUAGUGCCUUGAUCUUAGACCUCUCAGCCUCUAGAACUGUGAUAAAUAAAUGUUUGCUAUAUGCUUGUUGUUUAAGCUACCCAGUCUAUGGUAUUUUUGUUAUAGCAACUUGAAUGGACUAAGGACAGAUGAGGACCAGUUUUUGUCCCCACUUAUUUUGUUAUUUCUUCAACAUAUAUUGAGUGCUUGUAUGUGCCAAACACUGAACUAGGUUCUCAGAGCACAACAGUGAGUGAAACAGCUAUAAUUGCUGAAAUGGCUUAUAGUUCACUGAGGCUCAUUGUCUUUGGAGGUGGUGAUCACAGCCUCUGGCUGGUGAUACAUACUCUUCACUUCUAGCUGAGGUGAUGGAUUUUUACUUACUGACAUAAUUUUUCAUUUUUUUAAUCACACAUUUAUAAGACAUCUGUAAUGAAAUUAAAGAUAAAGAAAUAAAAUGAAAUUGAAUAUUUCAGAAUUUGGUUGAUCCUCUGAUCAAAUAUCUUUCAAAAUCUGUUUUCAUUUGAACUAAUGCUCAAGAGUCAUGCUUAAGAAACAAUUUAAUAAUUUUCAGUAAGAAUGCAUUCACUGAUUCUAUUUCUUAAGGAGAUUUUCCUAUGAAGAAAACCUAUCUCAAAGUGGUAGUCAUUUAUUGACCAAAGAAUACAUUUAUCCACCCUUUCUGCUAGAAGUUUUCUAAAAACAUCAUUGAGAAAGUAGGAUCUGAGCAAUAAAGAGUUAACCCCAAAUCAAAUUAAUAAUAAUUUUAAAAAAUUUAACAAAGCCAUCAGUGGCAGACAAAUACAACAUAUAAUUCACUAUAUAUUUACAAAGUAAGAGUCAGUGUUAAGGGUGGAUAAGAUAGUUAAAUAGCAUGUUUAUUUAAUAAGCAUGUACAAUGACUGUCUGUCCUAUGAAACCAUACUACAUAUUUUCAAUUAAGGCAUUAUACUUAGCAGAGUAAGAAAAUGAUUAUGGGAAGGAGUACUAUUUUAAAAAUAAAUAGAUUCUGGUAACUUACCUAAGAGAAAAAUAUUUGGGUGUGGUUUACAGAUUACUUUUAGAAACUGAUGAUGAAUUUCCUGGAGUUGUCUACCUGCUAUGAACAAUAAUAAAAAAAUGUUAUCUUGGCUGUUUAGAAGUACCCAGUCAUUAAAAGGAAAGCCAUUGGAGGUGGCAGUGUUGACUGUGAAGGGUCACAAGGAGACUUUCUGACUUGAUAGAAAUGUCCUGUGUCUUGAUAGGGCUGGAGGUUAUGCGUAUAAAUUGAUUUGUCAAAAAUGAUGGGACUAUGCUUUUAAGUUCUGUGCCUUUCACUCUAGGCAAAUUAUAACUCAAUAAAAGUACAAGUAAAAUUUUAAAAAUGUAAA